UCCCAGCGGUCCAAGUCGCAACCACAAUUAUUGGGUCUAAAACAUCCGUAGCUUGCUUGAUAAGUCUCUUGUGAAAUCCUGCCUCUUAAGGGUAGAAGAGCAAGAGAUACUGCCAAGCUCGAGACCGGGAGAGGUAAGAAGUACGGUAGGGGUACCGGUAAAAUGGGCUGAUCCCUUCUGGACUAACAACAGCGAAGGCAUCUUACCAGCACGGUUCUGACAGUGAGGGAUGAAGGCUAGGGGCGCAAAAGGG
rnacentral:rRNA from 1 species